UUCGACCUUCUGUUCCUCUAAUUCUUCAUUUUCCUCUUUGAAAACAAAAACAAAAUAGAGAUAAAAACCCUACACUUAUCACUACAUACUGAAGCUUCAAAUCUUCAUCGAAUCGCCUAAAAACUAUGAAUUACUCAUCCUCACUCGUCAAUCUUCAAGCGAGAAGCUUCAAAUCUUCGAUCGGUGAAAGUAGACGACGGACCGUUUGUAGAGAUUCAGCCAUUAAUUUUUGAAGAACUUGAAGAUUAUGUAAAUAGUAUUUUGGCGCGAUCAGACUUCCAUUCCUUCUUCCGGAAGUCAGUAUACUGUAAUAUAAAGAAAACGUUGUUCACUUCUAGAGCCGCAGUAGUCUAGUAGUUUAGUGGUAUGGUUUUGCUAUACAAACUCUGAUUUUGUAACUACUACUAUUUGUAUAUUACUUACGGUUAUUGUGUAGUAGUUGUUUAAUUAAAUGGUUUAUCGGGUAUCACUGAUACCGUGUUUGUGUAUCAUGAUGUCGUUAUAUUUGUUACAGGGUGGUUUGUGAUA